UACGAAGGGGGCUAGCGUUGCUCGGAAUCACUGGGCGUAAAGGGUGCGUAGGCGGGUCUUUAAGUCAGGGGUGAAAUCCUGGAGCUCAACUCCAGAACUGCCUUUGAUACUGAAGAUCUUGAGUCCGGGAGAGGUGAGUGGAACUGUGAGUGUAGAGGUGAAAUUCGUAGAUAUUCGCAAGAACACCAGUGGCGAAGGCGGCUCACUGGCCCGGUACUGACGCUGAGGUGCGAAAGCGUGGGGAGCAAACAGG
rnacentral:rRNA from 1 species